CGAUGAAUGCUAGUUGUUCGGGUCAAUUGAGACCUGAGUAACCAAGGGAAACCGAUAAGCAUUCCACCUGGGGAGUACGGUCGCAAGACUGAAACUCAAAGGAAUUGACGGGGGCCCGCACAAGCGGAGGAACAUGUGGUUUAAUUCGAUGAUACGCGAGGAACCUUACCCGGGCUUGAAAGUUAGUGACCGUUUUAGAGAUAGAAUUUCGCAGCAAUGCGCACGAAACUAGGUGCUGCAUGGUUGUCGUCAGCUCGUGCCGUGAGGUGUCGGCUUAAGUGCCACAACGAGCGCAACCCUUACCGUCGGUUGCCAGCGGGUAAUGCCGGGGACUUCGAUGGGACUGCCACCGUAAGGUGUGAGGAAGGUGGGGAUGACGUCAA
rnacentral:rRNA from 1 species